GGCGAGAUGGCCGAGCGGUCUAAGGCGCCAGAUUCAGGCGACCAGCUCAUUUGGUGAGCAGUUCUUCGGAACUUUCUGGUCUCUUCGGGGGCGUGGGUUCGAAUCCCACUCUCGUCA